rnacentral:misc_RNA from 1 species
CACAACAUGAUCCUUAGGAUUCUGCUCCACCCAUUGCAUCAAAUUGAUAACACCAAUUUCAACAUUGCAGCUAGAGCUCAAAACAUGUUCAAAACUGGGAAACUUCAUAUGGGCCUCUUUCUUUCCAUUGAAGCCGUGGAACAUCAACUCUUCAUUGUAAAUAUGCACAACAUGAUCCUCAGGAUUCUGCUUCACCCUUACUACAUGUAAUUUG